rnacentral:misc_RNA from 1 species
UCCAGCUUCAUCAGCGCCUUUGGCUUGGCAACCUUGUUGGGCCAGAUAUCCCAAAACUGCUUUCGGUAGUCGUCCGGCCAUCCGUCAUCGACAAGCGCGGCUUCGCGCGGUUCUUUCUGUUCUGACAUCNNNNNNUGGUAUCUGGGCUUUAACCUCACCCUUAACCGGUGGGUUAUCCGGGGGGUUAACCCCCGCCUUAAGCCUAGGGUUGCCACCACCUUUGCCGUUUUCCUUAUCC